AGCGAACGUUAGCGGCGGGCCUAACACAUGCAAGUCGAACGAGAAUGAGGGCUUCGGCUCUCUAGUAAAGUGGCGGACGGGUGCGUAACACGUGGGUAAUCUACCUUCCGGCGGGGGACAACAGUCCGAAAGGAUUGCUAAUACCGCAUACGUCAGCGGCGCCUACGGGCGCUGUUGGGAAAGAUGGCCUCUCCUUGGAAGCUGUCACCGGAAGAUGAGCCCGCAUCCCAUCAGCUAGUUGGUGAGGUAACGGCUCACCAAGGCUAAGACGGGUAGCUGGUCUGAGAGGAUGAUCAGCCACACUGGGACUGCGACACGGCCCAGACUCCUACGGGAGGCAGCAGUGGGGAAUAUUGGGCAAUGGGCGAAAGCCUGACCCAGCCACGCCGCGUGAGUGAUGAAGGCCUUCGGGUCGUAAAGCUCUGUGGGGAGGGACGAAUAAGUCCGGUGCUAACAUCACCGGGCCCUGACGGUACCUCCUUAGCAAGCACCGGCUAACCCUGUGCCAGCAGCCGCAGUAAUAC
rnacentral:rRNA from 1 species